rnacentral:rRNA from 1 species
GAUGAACGCUAGCUACAGGCUUAACACAUGCAAGUCGAGGGACCGGCGCACGGGUGAGUAACACGUAUCCAACCUGCCCUUUACUCGGGGAUAGCCUUUCGAAAGAAAGAUUAAUACCCGAUAUAAAGGAUGGGGAUGCGUUACCUUAGGUUGUUGGUGAGGUAACGGCUGACCAAGCCUUCGCUGGUUAGGGGUUCUGAGAGGAAGGUCCCGCACAUUGGAACUGAGACACGGUCCAAACUCGUACGGGAGGCAGCAGUGAGGAAUAUUUGUCAGUGGGCGCUAGCCUGAACCAGCCAAGGAGAGUGAAGGAUGAAGGCUUAUGGGUCGUAAUCUUCUUUUAUAUAAGAAUAGGUAUUAAAUGAAUAAGGAGCGGCUAACUCCGUGCCAGCAGCCGCGGUAAUUC